UAAAGUAACAUCCUAGGAGAAUCAGAAUGUAGUGAUUUGGCAGACAAAUUAAAGACCUGUUCAUGAGCACUUAACUCAGCGUUACUACACUUUUGUCCACUGGAAAUUGACAAAUGCCUGCAUUGGGUUGGAAAGUUUAGCCGUGGAGGCUUGAACAUUAAGCUGUAUACAGUUAGCAAACACAUUAAAAAACACCUACCUUUCUCUUCCACUCUGUCCUCCACAGAAUCUGAACCCUCACUUUAUUUAAGAAGCCACAAGAAACCUCUUUAUAAAUAUAUUUCUCCUCUUUACAAAGAGAUUUCAUAGGGAAAAGCUCAAAGUAAAGAUGGGUUUGGUUGUAAUCAUCUCUCUACCACUACUUAUCCUCUGCAUAUUACUUGCUGCGGCAUAUUACUUCUUCAGAAGAGCUAAACGGAGACAAGCUACUAACCCUCAGAUUUAUGGGGCACCAGCUCCGCCGCCUGGUGCACCUCCUCCUCCACAUACCAAGCCUGACAACUUGGCCAGUGUUUGACAGGUUCCAGGAAUGGAUUUUAUAUCUCUGGGAUAACUUUAGAAAAGAAAAUUCCCUUCCCUGUACUUUAUUUUACUGUAGACAAGCUUUUUGUUUUUUUGUUUGUUUGGUUGCUUAUAUUUGUGUGAAUUUGAGACAAACUAUGUUUGGUUAUCUGUGUUAAAAUGAUAUUAUCUCAGCAGGGUUAAGUUUAGGGUUGCCUUUGUCAUUUGAUUUUAGAUUGGAUUUGUUUGUGUUGCCUGCCCUGUGCACUUUUGUCACAUGAAAUAAAUGGUUAAAAUAGUGUAUUUGUUGUAUCCAUUCUGCCUCGAGUUUAUGUUUUUAUAUUCAAAUUGAGGUUGUUCAUCUGAUAUCAGUAUCAAUUAAAAAAGGAGGGUUUCAAUUUAACAGGUUGAAAUUAUAAAAGCUAAAAAUCUAUUUUCUGAAGCAUAAUUUAGCCUGAACGUUUGAUGUAGCUUAACUCAGUUAUUUUAUGAUACUUUGCAGAUAACUAAACACAUACAUUAACCAUAGUAGUGGUUGCCGAAGUUACUAAACCAUAAAACUGCAACAAAACUUUGAUUAAAAUAAACAAUUGGUUGCUUUAUCAAAAGAACAAUCACAGCACACUAUCUCAGAGAGAUAGUACUUAAAGAAAAAAAAUCAAAACUUUCUACCAUGAUUUAAAGUCGAUUAGAGAGAUGUAUGUGGGAGCACGAGCGGAGUGAGUGGGUAGACGCUUACAGUUCUUUCUCAAGAAACCACAUAAACAAUGUUUCACUCGCAAAUUGCCCAUCAUGUAUGCCAGGCCAGAUUUUCUUGCCUCUCUCAGAUCCUCCAGUUGCUUGCUGCAACUUACCCCUCGAAAUCUCUCUGUUUUGUUUGCUAGAACUACACCCAUCUCUAUUUUGAAGCCUAAAAUCCUUAACAUCGUCUGGUGAGCUUUGAUUGCUACUUAUUCAGGGGAAGUGGCUUCCAAAUGCUCGAAGUUAACCAUCAUCAGGGUCACAGUCCAACUUUCUAUCAGAUGAUUCUCAAAAUCAUGACUAUCCUUCCUUUCUUUGAUCUUCAUAAUAGUUACCUAACAACACAUUGAGUGAAACAGAACUCUGCAGAGCCAAUGCAUCUGGUAAAGACAUCAAGCAGAAAUAGAGCACCGCAAAGUCGGGAAUUUUUUGAUAGGAUACAAUUUAGUAACUAGGACAGUGAUAAAAUUUUCACUAUUUCUCGAGUAAGAGAAUAUUAAACACCUGGCUCUGGUUGCCCCUUUCGCUUUGCCCCUGGAAGCAGGUCGUUACGAUCAUUACACUAAUCAUCGCUAGGCCUAAAGAUUUAUUUUGGCACAUCAUUUUGAUUUUAUGUCUAAAGAUUUUGCAUUUAGUGACGAAGGAAUGGAAUUCCCAUCCCAUGUUAAAUUGAUGUUAUGUUUUCAAAUAAC
rnacentral:lncRNA from 1 species